rnacentral:rRNA from 1 species
GCCCUGAUGGAGCACGCCGCGUGAGCGAAGAAGGUCUUCGGAUCGUAAAGCUCUGUUGUAAGGGAAGAACAAGCGCAGCAGUAACUGGCUGCGCCCUGACGGUACCUUACUAGAAAGCCACGGCUAACUACGUGCCAGCAGCCGCGGUAAUUAGCCG